rnacentral:rRNA from 1 species
GACGAACGCUGGCGGCGUGCUUAACACAUGCAAGUCGAACGGAAAGGCCCUGCUUUUGUGGGGUGCUCGAGUGGCGAACGGGUGAGUAACACGUGAGUAACCUGCCCUUGACUUUGGGAUAACUUCAGGAAACUGGGGCUAAUACCGGAUAGGAGCUCCUGCUGCAUGGUGGGGGUUGGAAAGUUUCGGCGGUUGGGGAUGGACUCGCAGCUUAUCAGCUUGUUGGUGGGGUAGUGGCUUACCAAGGCUUUGACGGGUAGCCGGCCUGAGAGGGUGACCGGCCACAAUGGGACUGAGAUACGGCGCAGACUCCUACGGGAGGCAGCAGUGGAAAAUAUUGCGCAAAGGGCGGAAGCCUGAUGCAGCAACGCCGCGUGCGGGAUGACGGCCUUCGAGUUGUAAACCGAUUUCGCCUGUGACGAAGCUUGAGUGACGGUAAUGGGUAAAGAAGCACCGGCUAACUACGUG